GGCUACGAGGACGAACGGCUGGCGGCGUGCCUAAUACAUGCAAGUCGAACGGUCUUUCUAUGGAAGCUUGCUUCCACUGAGAAGAUAGUGGCGAACGGGUGAGUAACACGUGGGUAACCUGCCCAUAAGAGGGGGGAUAACAUCCGGAAACGGGUGCUAAUACCGCAUAGUUUUCUUGAUCGCAUGAUCGGGAAAGGAAAGACGGCCUUUGUGCUGUCGCUUAUGGAUGGACCCGCGGCGUAUUAGUUAGUUGGUGAGGUAACGGCUCACCAAGACGAUGAUACGUAGCCGACCUGAGAGGGUGAUCGGCCACAUUGGGACUGAGACACGGCCCAAACUCCUACGGGAGGCAGCAGUAGGGAAUCUUCCGCAAUGGACGAAAGUCUGACGGAGCAACGCCGCGUGAGUGAAGAAAGGUUUUCGGAUCGUAAAACUCUGUUGUCAGAGAAGAACAAGUUGGAGAGUAACUGCUCCAGCCUUGACGGUAUCUGACCAGAAAGCCACGGCUAACUACGUGCCAGCCGCCGC
rnacentral:rRNA from 1 species